rnacentral:lncRNA from 1 species
GAUAUGAUAUGGGAAGGUUGAGUUGCUGUUUAUCUGUUCCUAGAGAUGCUAGAAUUCUGGAGGAUUUUAUCUUUGAAAAUCUUUAAAAUAUCACAUGAUGAGUUCCUGUAUGAUGAGAGUUUAAAUUCCUACCACAGCCAUAUAUACAUGCUUGCUAAACUUUGAGCCACAUAUUUACUUUUUACUGCUUAUGAGCAUUGAGUGUGGUCAGGCUGUGUAGACCCUUAGGAGCUUGUCAUGUGGUUAAAAUCAAGAUUCACUUGCACGUUCACUCACACAUGCUGCUUCUACUCUGGAAGUACGCAUCCACAUAUAUCCACCCAUUUCCAUCUCUAGAACCACCCAAAAAUAUUCUACUCCUAAUCCAGGAGAGAAUACCCAAAAACAUUAUCCUAUCCCUGUUAUUCCUCGUGAAAUAAAUGCUCGAGAUAUUUUGGUUACUACCACUUGCUACAUUAUUCCAGGAGGGUGAGUGCUCUAAAAAAAGUGAAUACGAGGAAAUAAAAAGGGGCAAGUGCCCG